AGUCUUGGAAAUAAUAGUUUCACUGGUUCCAUUCCUGCAUCAUUUUCUAAUAUUUCCACACUCGAGACUUUGAAUCUGAAUUUCAAUUUCAUAGAGGGCCAAAUACCAAAAGUGAUUGGAAGUCUUAUAAACCUUAGAGAACUAAACUUGAUGGGUAACAAGCUCAUAGGGUUUAUUCCUCCGUCUAUCUUUAAUGCCUCGAGGUUGGAGACUUUAGAAAUAUCUGGCAAUUCACUUGAAGGGAACAUUCCAGAAGGGAUCGGCAAUCUUCACAACAUGAACUGGUUGUCCAUACAAGAUAAUCACCUUGAGGGUUCUAUACCAUUCUCCAUUUUCAAUAUUUCUAGAAUCGAAUUCAUUGCAUUUACAAACAAUUACUUAUCUGGAGAUCUUCCCAAUGGUUUAUGCAAUCGUCUUCCAAGACUUAAAGGUCUUUAUCUAUCCAAAAACAAGAUUCAUGGUCAUAUACCUACAAGCUUAUCAAAUUGUUCACAACUUCAACUGUUGUCUUUAUCAUAUAAUGAUUUUGAUGGACCAAUACAUAGUGAAAUUGGAAGAUUAACUAAUCUGCAGUUCUUGGUUCUCGGAUUUAACCAUUUAACUGGUAUGUUUGAUCUUAUGAAUGCUAGUACUAUUCUAUCAAAUUACUUCAGAAUUUUUUUUGAUUACAUAUUAACUGCAGGGAUAAUUCCAAAAGAAAUUGGAAAUCUUGUUAAUUUGGCGGAGUUAUGGGUGGAGAGCAACCAGCUUAACGGCUCUGUCCCAAUCUCCAUGUUCAAUAUCUCAUCGCUGCAAAUUUUGUCACUUUGGAGAAACAAUCUUAGUGGAUUCGUACCACGGGAGAUUGGCAACUUAACCAAGAUGCAACUUUUAUAUCUUAGCGAAAAUAGGCUUACUGGUACGUACGUAUUCAAAGUGAUUGCAAAGAAUACAACUUAUAUUAGAUUGAACUGACUAGUUAAUCCUUCUUUCGAUAAGUAUUUGCAGGUGAAAUACCCAAAGAGAUAAACAAUCUCACUGAGUUGGAGGAACUUACUCUUAGUUAUAAUAGAUUUAGUGGUACACUUGAUAUGGAAAUCUUCAACAUAUCAGGUUUGAGAAUAAUUUCACUUUCAACCAACAAUCUAUCUGGAAGCCUACCACCAAACAUAGGUUCUAUCUUACCAAACAUUGAAAAACUUUAUCUGCAUACCUUAACUAAUCUUGUUGGGACUAUUCCUAAUUACAUCUCCAACUGUUCAAAACUUACUGAUCUAGAGCUUUCAGACAACAAACUCAGUGGCUUGAUUCCCAAUUCUCUUGGAUAUUUGACUCAUCUACAGGUCCUACAAUUGAGCAGAAACAAUUUAACCAGUGACUCCUCGUUAAGCUUCUUCACUUCCUUAACCAAUUGCAGAAAUUUAACAUCUCUUGAUAUAUCUUCGAACCCCCUAAAGGGCAUGCUUCCAGCCUCCCUGGGGAACUUCUCCACAUCUCUUGUAGAUUUUUACACAGACGGUUGCAAAAUAGAAGGGCAAAUUCCAAAUGAAGUUGGGUACUUAAGCAGCUUAGUAGACCUUGAUCUUUCUGGAAAUAACUUGGCUGGAUUGAUUCCCACAUCAUUUGGCAACUUGACAAACCUUCAGCGUUUCUACUUGAGUAACAACAAAUUUACAGGAUUUAUUGGAGAUAAUCUUUGUAAAUUUCAGCGACUGGGUGCUAUUUACUUGGGUCAAAAUCAACUUUCAGGAUCUCUUCCGAAUUGUUUGAAUCAAAGUGUGAUUUCACAAACUAAAUGUCUUUGAAAGGUUCACUGCUUUUCUUUGGUUUUUGUAUUUCUUUCGUCACUUUUUUCAUAUACAGAGGAAGAAUGAACUUCAAAUAUAUUGGGGAAGGGAAACAGUUUAUGUUUGUAACUGUUCUCCCAAGUUUCAAAAAUGCAACAUUAUCUCUUUCUUUUCAACUUUUUUCCAGAUAAUCUAAAAACAAAAAUCGGGUCAAGUCAGGUCGGUCCAGCGACCCAUAACCCAUAAACCAACAAAAACGUUCAGCCAUUUUGAAGUAACCACUCCAGAAAUUGUACACUUACAUAUUGAGCAUCUUUACACUUGAUUAUAAAAAUAUUGGACCACUCCUUUCCAAGUCAAACACUAACUAUACUUCUUUCUUGGUCUACCACUUAAAAGUUUUUUUCCAAGACACACGCUAACUAUAUGUCAUCUAACAUUUAAUGACAUCGGCGGAUUUCGGAUUAGAAUUUUAUGGGUUUAAUCUUUGAAGGUUUUAGUAUUGAACCUAUUGUAAUUGUAAAACUAUGAGUUUAAACUUAUUCUUUGGUGCAAUUUAAUAAAGUUUUAUAGAUAAAUUUAUCUUUGCAUCAAAAAUACUGGAUUCAAAUGAACACGAUAUUUCUGUGAUGCAUCCUCCACUAAUAAUGGAAAUCAUUGUUUUGCUUGUCAUGGCCGAGAAUUUUAAUGGAGCUGUGCACAAAUAACUUUUGCUAAAGUUGUGGCUAUUAACUAACUCACCUCAUCACAUGCUCUACAUAACUGAAAAAUUCAAUGGACAUCCCUUUCCUAUUUAAAGUUUCAAAACAACAAUGUUAUUGGCCAUAACAAGUUCCUUCUAAUUUAUGCAAGCAUGGACAAAGCAUUCGCCUUUUUACUCUUAACAUUCGUGCUACUUCACUAUGUUAUGGCUAGUUCGGCCGCGACAAAAACCAACAUUUCCACCGAUCAAUUGACUCUUUUUUCUUUGAAAUCCCAAAUCAUUUCAGACCCCUUUCACUUAUUGGAUGAAAGUUGGUCCCCAGCUACUUUUGUUUGUCAUUGGGUCGGAAUCACUUGUAGCUCUCGUCAUCAGAGAGUGAAAUCUUUAAAUCUUUCAAACAUGGCUCUUACAGGCAUAAUUCCUCGGGAAUUUGGAAACCUGACAUUUCUUGUUUCUCUUGACUUGGGAAACAACAAUUUCAAGGGAAAUUUACCUCAAGAAAUGGCACGCUUGCAUCGGCUUAAGUUUCUUGAUUUAAGUUUCAACAGCUUCAGAGGGGAUGUUCCUUAUUGGCUUGGGUUUUUACACCAACUUCAAUUUCUAAGUCUUGGAAAUAAUAGUUUCACUGGUUCCAUUCCUGCAUCAUUUUCUAAUAUUUCCACACUCGAGACUUUGAAUCUGAAUUUCAAUUUCAUAGAGGGCCAAAUACCAAAAGUGAUUGGAAGUCUUAUAAACCUUAGAGAACUAAACUUGAUGGGUAACAAGCUCAUAGGGUUUAUUCCUCCGUCUAUCUUUAAUGCCUCGAGGUUGGAGACUUUAGAAAUAUCUGGCAAUUCACUUGAAGGGAACAUUCCAGAAGGGAUCGGCAAUCUUCAC
rnacentral:lncRNA from 1 species